AUGGACCAUAGAAUUGUGGUUCCUAGUUUAGAUGGAAGGAAGGGUGGCUUGCUUUUAGUGUGGAAGAAGGAGGUGAGGAUCUACUCCCGGGCUGCCACCCUUGAUUUCAUCGAUGUUUCUGUGGAAGAGGACAAUGGGGAUGUGUGGAGGUUAACUGGGAUUUAUGGCGAACCAAACUGGGAUUACAAGACUCGCACAUACCAGUUACUUCGAGAUCUGCACGCCCAAUCCAGAUUGCCAUGGGUUGUAAUCGGUGACUUUAAUGAGAUCCUUCUCUCCUCAGAGAAGGACGGAGGUGCGCCUCGACAACAAUCACGUCUUAAAGUCUUUCAGGAUGCAUUGUCUGAUUGCUCGCUAGAAGACUUGGGGUAUGAGGGUGAUGUUUUCACGUGGUUCUAUGGUGGACUGCGGGAAAGGCUAGACCGUGCAGUAUCAAAUGCAGAAUGGAUGAGGCUCCAUCCGCUGGCAGGCUUAUGUAACUUGGAGCUGGGGAAAUCAGAUCAUAGGCCGAUCUGUUUGGACACUAAUCACCUUGUUGGAGUG
rnacentral:rRNA from 1 species